UAGGGAAUAUUGCGCAAUGGGCGAAAGCCUGACGCAGCGAUACCGCGUGAGUGAGGAAGGUCUUCGGAUUGUAAAGCUCUGUCGAGGUGGAAAAAUGGCGUAGUUUCAAAUAGGGAUUACGUUUGAUGGUACACCUGAAGGAAGCACCGGCAAACUUCGUGCCAGCAGCCGCGGUAAUACGAAGGGUGCAAGCGUUGUUCGGAUUUAUUGGGCGUAAAGCGCGCGCAGGCGGAUCGGCAAGUCGGUUGUGAAAUCUCGGAGCUCAACUCCGAAACUGCGGCCGAAACUAUCGAUCUAGAAUAUCGGAGGGGGAAGGGGAAUUUCGCAUGUAGGGGUAAAAUCCGUAGAUAUGCGAAGGAACACCAGAGGCGAGAGCGCCUUCCUGGACGAUUAUUGACGCUGAGGCGCGAAAGCGUGGGGAGCAAACAGG
rnacentral:rRNA from 1 species